rnacentral:rRNA from 1 species
AGUUUGAUCAUGGCUCAGAUUGAACGCUGGCGGCAUGCUUAACACAUGCACGUCGAACGCGAAAGUCCUUCGGGGCGAGUAGAGUGGCGGACGGGUGAGUAACGCGUGGGAAUCUACCCUAGAGCGGGGGACAACCCGGGGAAACCCGGGCUAAUACCGCAUACGUCCUACGGGAGAAAGAGGGCCUCUGCUUGCACGCUCUCACUCCAGGAUGAGCCCACGUCCGAUUAGCUAGUUGGUAGGGUAAAGGCCUACCAAGGCCACGAUCGGUAGCUGGUCUGAGAGGAUGAUCAGCCACACUGGGACUGAGACACGGCCCAGACUCCUACGGGAGGCAGCAGUGGGGAACAUUGGACAAUGGGCGCAAGCCUGAUCCAGCAAUGCCGCGUGUGUGAAGAAGGCCUGCGGGUUGUAAAGCACUUUCAGUGGGGAAGAACAGAUUCGGGUCAAUACCCCGGAGCCCUGACGUUACCCACAGAAGAAGCACCGGCUAACUCCGUG